UGUUAAAAAGCUCGUAGUUGGAUCAAGAGUUCGACAGUGCAAGGUGGCCCCGCUUGCUACGUUGGCUCCGGUCACCGUAGCGGCGGCGGAUAAACCCCUUGCGCCAAACUGUCGUCUCUAACAGACCGAAACGGUUCCCUGUGAGUAGGUUCCUUCAUUGGGGCUGAAAGCGCCUACGCAUCAACCAUAUGCUUACGGGACGUCGGUCAAAGUUACUGUGAACAAACCAGCGUGUCCAAAACAGGCUUUCGCCUGAAUGUUUGAGCAUGGAAUAACAAGGGAUCGAUUCUCUCGGUUCUUUUUGUUGGUUUUUAACCCGAGAAGGAGUAAUUCAGGCCACAGUGUCUGGGCUGGGUUCCCCUAGUCUCCGGAUUAGGCCCCAGUUAGGCCGUGUCCUUACGGGAUCAAUAGGGACUGACGGGGUCGUACGUACUUCCACGUCAGAGGUGAAAUUCUUAGAUCGUGGGAAGACGAACUUCUGCGAAAGCAUUCGACAAGAAUGUCUUCAUUAAUCAAGAACGAGAGUGUGGGGAUCGAAGAUGAUCAGAUACCGUCGUAGUCCACUACUGUAAACAAUGCCGUCUCAGGAUUGAGAAGUGAACCUAAUGACUUUCACAGCACUAACCCUGAAACGAGAAAUCAAAGAUUAUGGGUUCAGGGGGGAGUACAUUCGCAAGGCUGAAACU
rnacentral:rRNA from 1 species